AAGGAGAUAGAGGGAGCCAUCAUGAAGGAAGAAAAAUGAGUGAGAAGGAAGAUGAGGAGAGGAAUUUUUUUGCUGAUGAGAAGGGACAGAUUUAGAGGAAGCCAUCUCAAGGGAUAGAGCUCAUAGAUUGGUUUGAAAGAAAAAGAGAAUGAGAAGAAAGGGGAGGAGGAGAGAGAGCCCACUGGCAAAGAAUAGGAUGAAGGAGGAGGAAGGAGAGGAGAAGAGGCUGGGGAGGAAGAAGAUGAUGAAGAUAAAAAGGGAUGAAGAUGGAGGAGGCCACCACAAAGAGGGAUAAUUUAUGGAUGGUUUAGAGAAAAAGGAUGAGGAGAAGUGCAUGAGAAGGAAGAGAAGGAGAAAAGGAAGGAGGAGAAUGAAUGGAGAAAGUGGAGAAGAAAGGGGAGGAGGAGAAUAGGUAAAAAGGGGAAAGAGGAGAAAAAAGAAGGGAGAAAGAGGAGGAAGGAGACGAGGAGAAAUGGAUAAGAAAGAAAAGGAGGAAGGAAGAGGGAGAAAAAGGGACACCAGCCAUGGAGGAGAAGAUCAAUCGGAGAGGAAGG
rnacentral:lncRNA from 1 species